UCGCCCUUAGAGUUUGAUCCUGGCUCAGGAUGAACGCUAGCUACAGGCUUAACACAUGCAAGUCGAGGGGCAGCGGGAUUGAAGCUUGCUUCAAUUGCCGGCGACCGGCGCACGGGUGAGUAACGCGUAUCCAACCUUCCGUACACUCAGGGAUAGCCUUUCGAAAGAAAGAUUAAUACCUGAUGGUAUGAUGAGAUUGCAUGAUAGCAUCAUUAAAGAUUUAUCGGUGUACGAUGGGGAUGCGUUCCAUUAGGUAGUAGGCGGGGUAACGGCCCACCCAGCCAACGAUGGAUAGGGGUUCUGAGAGGAAGGUCCCCCACAUUGGAACUGAGACACGGUCCAAACUCCUACGGGAGGCAGCAGUGAGGAAUAUUGGUCAAUGGACGAGAGUCUGAACCAGCCAAGUAGCGUGAAGGAUGAAGGUCCUACGGAUUGUAAACUUCUUUUAUAAGGGAAUAAACCCUCCCACGUGUGGGAGCUUGUAUGUACCUUAUGAAUAAGCAUCGGCUAACUCCGUGCCAGCAGCCGCGGUAAUACGGAGGAUGCGAGCGUUAUCCGGAUUUAUUGGGUUUAAAGGGAGCGCAGACGGGUCGUUAAGUCAGCUGUGAAAGUUUGGGGCUCAACCUUAAAAUUGCAGUUGAUACUGGCGUCCUUGAGUGCGGUUGAGGUGUGCGGAAUUCGUGGUGUAGCGGUGAAAUGCUUAGAUAUCACGAAGAACUCCGAUUGCGAAGGCAGCACACUAAUCCGUAACUGACGUUCAUGCUCGAAAGUGUGGGUAUCAAACAGGAUUAGAUACCCUGGUAGUCCACACGGUAAACGAUGGAUACUCGCUGUUGGCGAUAUACUGUCAGCGGCUUAGCGAAAGCGUUAAGUAUCCCACCUGGGGAGUACGCCGGCAACGGUGAAACUCAAAUGAAUUGACGG
rnacentral:rRNA from 1 species